rnacentral:siRNA from 1 species
CUAUUAGACGUACACGGUUCCCGA